CUGGUUGAUCCUGCCAGACCCGACUGCUAUCAGAGUGAGAUUAAGCCAUGCGAGUCAACGUAGCAAUACGUGGCACACGGCUCAGUAACACGUAGUCAACAUAACCAAAGGACGUGGAUAAUCUCGGGAAACUGAGGCUAAACCGCGAUAGACCAAGAUACCUGGAAUGGUUUUUGAUCAAAAUCUAUAUGGCCCUUGGAUUGGACUGCGUCCGAUCAGGCUGUUGGUGAGGUAAUGGCCCACCAAACCUAUAACCGGUACGGGCUCUGAGAGGAGGAGCCCGGAGAUGGGUACUGAGACAAGGACCCAGGCCCUAUGGGGCGCAGCAGGCGCGAAACCUCUGCAAUAGGCAAAGCUUGACAGGGUUACUCUGAGUGAUUUCCGUUAAGGAGAUCUUUUGGCACCUCUAAAAAUGGUGCAGAAUAAGGGGUGGGCAAGUCUGGUGUCAGCCGCCGCGGUAAUACCAGCACCCCGAGUGGUCGGGACGUUUAUUGGGCCUAAAGCAUCCGUAGCCGGUUCUACAAGUCUUCCGUUAAAUCCACCUGCUUAACAGAUGGGCUGCGGAAGAUACUAUAGAGCUAGGAGGCGGGAGAGGCAAGCGGUACUCGAUGGGUAGGGGUAAAGUCCGUUGAUCCAUUGAAGACCACCAGUGGCGAAGGCGGCUUGCCAGAACGCGCUCGACGGUGAGGGAUGAAAGCUGGGGGAGCAAACCGGAUUAGAUACCCGGGUAGUCCCAGCUGUAAACGAUGCAGACUCGGUGAUGAGUUGGCUUAUUGCUAACUCAGUGCCGCAGGAAGCCGUUAAGUUUGCCGCCUGGGGA
rnacentral:rRNA from 1 species